AUGGGAGCUUUUUACAUUAUUUUUUGGAUGGCAAAUGUUAUUCUUAAAUCAGCAUUUAGACUGCAUGGCCAUCUUUUCUAACUAGAUCUUUGGGUCCAAAACUUAUGCCUCUUCGGCUCCUUCCCAAUGACGAUUUUUUGGGAGAAAUUCGAAAAAUGGACGGGGUUCCCAAUCCCAAAUAUUUAGUUUAGUUGUGAAGAAUAAAGGAGGUCACAAUAAUUCAGCGUGAUUUUGUUUUUAAAGUGUAGUUUUUGUCGAUUCUUGAAGUUCACUAUGAUUUUGUCAAUUUAAACAUGCACGGAUUUAUUCAUUUUUGGUUUACAAUGUUAUCAAUGAAGAUCGAACCUAGUUUUUUUUAUAGGAAAAUGCUUAAUUUUACAAACGCUCUCUCACAAGAAAAAUAAGAAUGACGUGGCGUUUCAAACAUUGGGAAAAUAAUUUUGUUUGAUCCUCACAAUAUUUCUUUCCCCC
rnacentral:lncRNA from 1 species